rnacentral:tRNA from 1 species
GCCUGGGUGGCUCAGUCGGUUGAGCAUCUGACUUAGGCUCAGGUCAUGAUCUUGCAGUUUGUGGGUUCAAGCCCCGCAUCGGGCU